rnacentral:rRNA from 1 species
AGCGAACGCUGGCGGCGUGCCUAACACAUGCAAGUCGAACGUGAAAGGGAGCAAUCCCAAGUAAAGUGGCGUACGGGUGAGUAACACGUAGGUAAUCUACCCCAGAAUCUGGAAUAACCGGCCGAAAGGCUGGCUAAUACUGGAUAGAGCGACGGAAUCCGUAAUUGGGUUUUUCGGGAAAGGGAGCCUGUAAAAAGGCCUUCGUUCUGGGAUGAGCCUGCGUCCCAUCAGCUAGUUGGUGAGGUAAAAGCUUACCAAGGCAACGACGGGUAGCUGGUCUGAGAGGACGAUCAGCCACACUGGAACUGAAACACGGUCCAGACUCCUACGGGAGGCAGCAGUGGGGAAUCUUGCGCAAUGGACGAAAGUCUGACGCAGCAACGCCGCGUGAGUGAAGAAGGCCUUCGGGUUGUAAAGCUCUGUCGAGUGGGACGAAAAUGCUUGGAGUUCACAGCUCCAGGAACUGACGGUACCACUAAAGGAAGCACCGGCUAACUCCGUG